CGCAGCCGCGGUAAUUCCAGCUCCAAUAGCGUAUAUUAAAGUUGUUGCAGUUAAAAAGCUCGUAGUUGAAUUUCGGGACCAAUUUGUUGGUCGUGCCUCGGUACGUACUAGUAUUAUUGGUUUCUCCCUUCUGAAGAACCAUGAUGCCAUUAAUUUGGUGUCGUGGGGAAUCAGGACUGUUACUUUGAAAAAAUUAGAGUGUUUAAAGCAGGCUCGCGCUUGAAUACAUUAGCAUGGAAUAAUGAAAUAGGACGUUUGAUUCUAUUUUGUUGGUUUCUAGGAUCGACGUAAUGAUUAAUAGGGAUAGUUGGGGGCAUUAGUAUCCAAUUGUCAGAGGUGAAAUUCUUGGAUUUAUUGAAGACUAACUACUGCGAAAGCAUUUGCCAA
rnacentral:rRNA from 1 species